rnacentral:rRNA from 1 species
UACGUAGGGGGCAAGCGUUAUCCGGAUUUACUGGGUGUAAAGGGAGCGUAGACGGCAGUGCAAGUCUGAAGUGAAAGGCUGGGGCUCAACCCCGGAACUGCUUUGGAAACUGUGCUGCUUGAGUACCGGAGGGGUAAGCGGAAUUCCUAGUGUAGCGGUGAAAUGCGUAGAUAUUAGGAGGAACACCAGUGGCGAAGGCGGCUUACUGGACGGUAACUGACGUUGAGGCUCGAAAGCGUGGGGAGCAAACAGG